GACGAACGCUGGCGGCGUGCUUAACACAUGCAAGUCGAACGGAAAGGCCUUUUCGGAGGUACUCGAGUGGCGAACGGGUGAGUAACACGUGGGUGAUCUGCCCUGCACUCUGGGAUAAGCCUGGGAAACUGGGUCUAAUACCGGAUAGGACCGCACUUUAGUGUGUGUGGUGGAAAGUUUUUUCGGUGUAGGAUGAGCCCGCGGCCUAUCAGCUUGUUGGUGGGGUAAUGGCCUACCAAGGCGGCGACGGGUAGCCGGACUGAGAGGUUGGUCGGCCACAUUGGGACUGAGAUACGGCCCAGACUCCGACGGGAGGCAGCAGGGGGGAAUAUUGCACAAUGGGCGCAAGCCUGAUGCAGCGACGCCGCGUGGGGGAGGACGGCCUUCGGGUUGGAAACUCCUUUCGCCAGGGACGAAGCGUUUUGUGACGGUACCUGGAGAAGAAGCACCGGCUAACUACGUG
rnacentral:rRNA from 1 species